UCAUCAUGCCCUUAUGACCUGGGCUACACACGUGCUACAAUGGUUGGUACAACGAGUUGCGAGUCGGUGACGGCGAGCUAAUCUCUUAAAGCCAAUCUCAGUUCGGAUUGUAAGGCUGCAACUCGCCUACAUGAAGUCGGAAUCGCUAGUAAUCGCGGAUCAGCACGCCCGCGGUGAAUACGUUCCCGGGCCCUU
rnacentral:rRNA from 1 species